rnacentral:rRNA from 1 species
UUAGGAAUAUUGGGCAAUGGAGGAAACUCUGACCCAGCAACGCCGCGUGAAGGAAGAAGGUUUUCGGAUUGUAAACUUCUGAUCUGUGGGAAAAAGAAAGUGAUGGUACCACAGGAGCAAGACACGGCCAACUACGUGCCAGCAGCCGCGGUAAUGCGUAGGUGUCAAGCGUUGUCCGGAAUAACUGGGCGUAAAGGGUGCGUAGGUGGCUAGUUAAGUUAAAUGUGAAAGCCCGGGGCUCAACUCCGGAAUUGCAUUUAAUACUGGUUAGCUAGAGUUCAGGAGGGGUAAGCGGAAUUCCUAGUGUAGCGGUUAAAUGCGUAGAUAUUAGGAGGAACACCAGAGGCGAAGGCGGCUUACUGGACUGACACUGACACUGAGGCACGAAAGCGUGGGGAGCAAACA